rnacentral:rRNA from 1 species
CAAGGCGACGAUCUGUAGCGGGUCUGAGAGGAUGAUCCGCCACACUGGAACUGAGACACGGUCCAGACUCCUACGGGAGGCAGCAGUGGGGAAUUUUGGACAAUGGGGGCAACCCUGAUCCAGCCAUGCCGCGUGAGUGAAGAAGGCCUUCGGGUUGUAAAGCUCUUUCGGCCGGGAAGAAAUCGCAUGGGCCAAUACCCUGUGUGGAUGACGGUACCGGAAUAAGAAGCACCGGCUAACUACGUGCCAGCAGCCGCGGUAAUACGUAGGGUGCGAGCGUUAAUCGGAAUUACUGGGCGUAAAGCGUGCGCAGGCGGUUUUGUAAGACAGGCGUGAAAUCCCCGGGCUUAACCUGGGAACUGCGUUUGUGACUGCAAGGCUAGAGUACGGCAGAGGGGGGUGGAAUUCCACGUGUAGCAGUGAAAUGCGUAGAGAUGUGGAGGAACACCAAUGGCGAAGGCAGCCCCCUGGGUCGAUACUGACGCUCAUGCACGAAAGCGUGGGUAGCAAACAGGAUUAGAUACCCUGGUAGUCCACGCCCUAAACUAUGUCAACUAGGUGUUGGGUGGGUAAAACCAUUUAGUACCGUAGCUAACGCGUGAAGUUGACCGCCUGGGGAGUACGGCCGCAAGGUUAAAACUCAAAGGAAUUGACGGGAACCCGCACAAGCGGUGGAUGAUGUGGAUUAAUUCGAUGCAACGCGAAAAACCUUACCUACCCUUGACAUGCCAGGAACUUGCCAGAGAUGGCUUGGUGCCCGAAAGGGAGCCUGGACACAGGUGCUGCAUGGCUGUCGUCAGCUCGUGUCGUGAGAUGUUGGGUUAAGUCCCGCAACGAGCGCAACCCUUGUCGUUAAUUGCCAUCAUUUAGUUGGGCACUUUAACGAGACUGCCGGUGACAAACCGGAGGAAGGUGGGGAUGACGUCUCCUCAUGGCCCUUAUGGGUAGGGCUUCACACGUCAUACAAUGGUCGGUACAAAGGGUUGCCAAGCCGCGAGGCGGAGCCAAUCCCAGAAAGCCGAUCGUAGUCCGGAUUGCAGGCUGCAACUCGCCUGCAUGAAGUCGGAAUCGCUAGUAAUCGUGGAUCAGCAUGUCACGGUGAAUACGUUCCCGGGUCUUGUACACACCGCCCGUCACACCAUGGGAGCGGGUUCCGCCAGAAGUAGGUAGCCUAACCGCAAGGGGGGCGCUUACCACGGCGGGGUUCGUGACUGGGGUGAAGUCGUAACAAGGUA